UACUGUGGGGACGCAGAAGGAGAGCACGAGCCGGAAAUGGAAAAGCCGGUACAAGCGUAUAGCAGUCAUGCAGGCAAAACCGCAUGAAAAAUGUAAAGCGUUAUGUGGAUCGAACAUUAGUAGAGAAGCGUGUGAGCCAGCUGCCAAGAAAAGCCGCUAUUGUUUCAUAAGUACCCGUACCGUAAACCGACACAGGUGGAUGAGGAGAGAAUCCUAAGGCCGGCGGGAGAAGUGUUGUUAAGGAACUCGGCAAAAUGACUCCGUAACUUCGGGAGAAGGAGUGCCACAGAGAUGUGGCCGCAGAGAAAUGGCCCAAGCAACUGUUUAGCAAAAACACAGGUCUAUGCAAAACCGAAAGGUGAGGUAUAUGGGCUGACGCCUGCCCGGUGCUGGAAGGUUAAGAGGAGAGGUUAGAGCAAUCGAAGCUUUGAAUUUAAGCCCCAGUAAACGGCGGCCGUAACAAUAACGGUCCUAAGGUAGCGAAAUUCCUUGUCGGGUAAGUUCCGACCCGCACGAAAGGCGUAAUGAUUUGGGCACUGUCUCAACAACACACCCGGUGAAAUUGAAAUACCAGUGAAGAUGCUGGUUACCUGCGCCAGGACGGAAAGACCCCAUGGAGCUUUACUCCAGUUUGAUACUGGGAUUCGGUACUGUCUGUACAGGAUAGGUGGGAGGCUAGGAAAUGGUGACGCCAGUUGCCAUGGAGCCAACCUUGGGAUACCACCCUUACAGUACUGGGUUUCUAACCUGCAGCCGUAACCCGGCUGGGGGACAAUGUCUGACGGGGAGUUUGACUGGGGCGGUCGCCUCCGAAAGAGUAUCGGAGGCGCUCAAAGGUUCCCUCAGAACGGUUGGAAACCGUUCGAAGAGUGCAAAGGCAGAAGGGAGCUUGACUGCGACACCGACGGGUGGAGCAGAUACGAAAGUAGGACUUAGUGAUCCGGUGGUAUAAAGUGGGAUUGCCAUCGCUCAACGGAUAAAAGCUACCCUAGGAUAACAGGCUUAUCACUCCCAAGAGUUCACAUCGACGGAGUGGUUUGGCACCUCGAUGUCGGCUCAUCGCAUCCUGGAGCUGUAGCAGGUUCCAAGGGUUGGGCUGUUCGCCCAUUAAAGCGGUACGCGAGCUGGGUUCAGAACGUCGUGAGACAGUUCGGUCCCUAUCCGGCGUGGGCGUAGGAUAUUUGAGAGGAGCUGUCCUUAGUACGAGAGGACCGGGAUGGACAAACCUCUGGUGUAUCUGUUGUUUUACCAAAGGCAUGGCAGAGUAGCCAAGUUUGGCAGGGAUAAACGCUGAAGGCAUCUAAGCGUGAAGCCCCCCUCAAGAUAAGAUAUCCCAUCUUCGGAGUAAGACCCCUUGAAGACUACAAGGUUGACAGGCUUCAGGUGUAAGUGUGGUAACGCACUCAGCUGAGAAGUACUAAUAGGUCGAGGACUUAUC
rnacentral:rRNA from 1 species